ACCCGGGCGUCCGGGGCACGCACGCACGCAGACAAACACACACACACGCGCGCACGCAUACCCGGGGAACCCAGGCGUCCGGGGCACACACGCGCACACACGCGCGCGCGGGGAACCCAGGCAUCCAGGGCACCGCGGCGGUGCCUGGAUGGGAGGGCGGUGCGCGGCGCCCCGGCCCGGCGAGGCUCCAGACCUCCCUGGGGUGCCAGCCCCUUCUGGAACACAGCUCACUCGCCCUUGAGCCCCGGGUACGCCUGGCCUGGGGCAGCUGGGGAGGGGCUGCAAGCACGGGGGAGCUCAGGCAUCACCAGGCUGGAGGGAGACAUGAAGAAGAGCCGGAGCAUCCUGGCCGUGACUCCAGACGAGAAGCCAAGGGAGGCACCGGAGUCGGGGUGUUGCAGUCGAUCAUACACGUCCUCAAGCCUGCUGGGUGCAGAGCUGAGGCGCAGCCGGCGCCGUCUCUCCUGCAGCCUGCAGGUGCCAUCCUGGAAGCCGAUGGAGCGGUCGCGCUCCCCUGAGCCCAAUGGCAUGGCCCGACCCACGACGCUGCCCCUACGCAUCCCACCCCGUAUCUCCAUCACCCACGCAGAGCCAGACAGGUAGGGGGCACUGGUGCAUGAGGCCAGGGGUAGUGGGGCUGCCAGGGAGGAGUCAAAGGUUGUGGGGAGUGUGCAAAUGCCCUGGGAAGGGCACCUGAGGGACAGAGCCUGGUGCUGGCUCCAUGGGUGAC